GGACCAUGCUAGGGAGCAGAGGCCUUCCUGCCAGGCUCUGUCUGCAAACCUCAAGGCAGGGUACCCACAGAAAAGCCUGUUCAUACACCUCCUUAAUGAGAAAGGAAAGCAGAGGCUGACAGAGAUGAGGGAGAGAAGAGAUUCAGGGCCAGGGCCCACUCCGCUCUGCUCCGUGCCAAGGCUCCUAAGAGUUUGACAUUUGGAAAAGAUCUGGCCUCAUGGAGCCAAGGAUUUGGGACAGGGCUCCUUCCGGCUCCCGGGAGUGUCAAGAAGAAGAGAAGGAGGAGGAGGAAAAUGACUCAGCUGAAAUGAAGAGAAAUGUAUUUUUAAAAAGCGAAACGAUGAAAGGCACAAAGGAACAAAAUGGAGCCGCAGGAUGGGGUCCAAAUGCCUUCUCAGAUGAAGUGGGACGAAUCUGCAACAAGCUCGAGAGCUCACUAGGGCUUCCAAACCAAGAAUAACACCACGAAAAUGAAGAGAGUCUUUGGGGCCGGCCAGGUCUGUGGUCCCCAGGGGCUGGUGCCCACCUCUGCAGGAGGGAUGCUGAAAGCCACCCAGCAGGUCGGAAGCUUCUCCACACUUUUGAUUCGGACAAUGGAAUGAGUUCUGUGACAGAGGAGUCGGGGACAAAGCCAAGGUCAGAUGACCCCGAUUGCAAAAGCUUCAUCUUGAAAUAUUCAGUGGAGAACAAGCAUGAUAAUGAGAAGAGAUAGGAGAAGAGAAGCCCAGAUCUGCAUCUCCCUUCCCCCGGGUCAUCCGGUCCCCCUUCUCCAAAUCAUCAGAGGCUAAGCAAGGGACCUCCAAACCAGCCCUGAGACCAUGACAGCAGCCAGGACAAAGCCCCUGCUCCUG